UUGUCCCUUGGCAAGUUGUAUCCUUGUUUAAACUUUUACUGCAGAGGUAGCUACAACAUUUCUCUCCACUUUAGGCUAUGUCUCAACAUAAAGUGAAUUCGGGUAAUCUGGGACAUUUUUUGCAAUUUUGACUUCUGCGAUUUAUUUAGAUAUCUAUCUGUAACGGGGCGUGUUUCAGGAACUACAAAUCCCAUCAGCUUCAGUUCUAUAAAAGGAAGUGAUGAGAUCUGUUCUUCCAUUUCCGCCCUUUGGUCUCCGCUGACGAUUUAUGAAUGGAAGUCGCGCCAGAUCCAAGCUGGUUUACGUGUUGCAUGGUGGCAAUAGACCAAAUGUAAGGAUCGUUUGUGCAGUUACAUGUCAAAGAGUGGAACAUUGUUGAGUGUUGAACACGGUGCAUCGUUAGGAGUAUUGUGGCUGGAUGGUUACCCGAGUGUCAUAACCCAAAAUAACGGAUGGUAGAGGUAUAUUAUCUUUAUUUUUAUUUAUAGGGUUUAAAAAGGGAGUUUUAAAUGUUUUUAAUUAUUUUAAUGUUUUUCUUGAUUGUUUAGUUUCUUUUAAAAUGGUUUGGGUAUGUGACUUUUCCUUUUAUAUUGUAAAAUAUUUCUUUUUAGUAAUUGAUUGUGUUUUCCCUUACAGGGAUGCACGAUUACCGUUUAUUUUCGGUUGAAUUAUUGUUGAGAUUGUGUUUUUUUUCCUUUUUGGUUGGAUGUUGGACCAGAGUUGGUUGAGGGAGAACUGAGGUCACACCAAAGACAAAAAAAGUGACUAAAUAGAUCAUAGUCAUCUUAUAGGGUUGACUUGUUCUAUUUGCAUUACCCACUGUUAAUAUUAUUGUAUGUUUUGUUUUUUUGUUGUAGAUUUCUUUUUGACCUGACGGUGGCUGCGGGGUUGCCUUCACUGGUGGAUUGCAGUGGUGUGGUGGUUUGGUCACCUUAUUUCCCUUUCCUUUUAGGUCUGCAGUGUGAUUUGCCGUGAGCUUGGUUGCAGUGGGAGCACAUUGGUUUGUAUGCCCUUCUUGUCUUCACAACCUAGGUAACCUGUGGCCAUCUGCGGGUUUUAUUUGUUUUUUUCUAUUUUAUUUUCUUUUUAUUUACUUUUCUGUGUGGGUAAUUGUAUUAAUGGUCUGCAGCAUCCUUUUAACAUGUUAAUGUUUAUAUUAUUUUCUUUUGAAUAAAUAUGUUUAAGGCUUCA